CUUUCUUUCUUUCUUUUCUUUCCAGACAAGUUUUCUCUGUAUAGCUCUGUGUGUCCCAGAGCUUGCUCUGUAGACUAGACUGGCCUCAAAUUCAGAAAUUCAU
rnacentral:miRNA from 14 species